GACGAACGCUGGCGGCGUGCCUAACACAUGCAAGUCGAGCGGGGAUUUAAGUUGAAGUUCUUCGGAAUGGAGAUUUAAAUUCUAGCGGCGGACGGGUGAGUAACGCGUGAACAAUCUGUCCCGGACAGGGGGAUAACACUUGGAAACAGGUGCUAAUACCGCAUCAGACCACGGCCUCGCAUGGGGCUGAGGUAAAAGGAGCAAUCCGGUUCGGGGUGAGUUCGCGUCCGAUUAGCUAGUUGGUGAGGUAACGGCCCACCAAGGCGACGAUCGGUAGCCGGCCUGAGAGGGUGAACGGCCACAUUGGAACUGAGAGACGGUGCAAACUCCUACGGGAGGCAGCAGUGGGGAAUAUUGGGCAAUGGGCGAAAGGCUGACCAAGCAACGCCGCGUGAGGGAAGAAGGUUUUCGGAUUGUAAACCUCUGUCCUAUGGGACGAAGGAAGUGACGGUACCAUAGGAGGAAGCCCCGGCUAACUACGUG
rnacentral:rRNA from 1 species